rnacentral:snRNA from 1 species
AGAGAAUUGCUUGAACCCAGGAGGCAGAGGUUUCAGUGAGCCGAGAUUGCACCACUGUGCUCCAGCCUGGUGACAUAG